rnacentral:lncRNA from 1 species
ACAAGCCCGGGCAACAAAAACCGGGAGCUGAGCGUGAAGGCCUGGGCGAGCGGAAGGGUGGGAGAGAGGGGCUAGGCCGGGGAGUGAAGCGCUGGGGCCGGGGCCGGCUUUCCAGGAGCCGGCGGGAGCGGGGUGCGUAAGAGGCGGGCGAGGAAGAACCGGCGGGCAACGGGAAGGGCAGAGGUGGAUCGAUCUCUCCCUCAGCGACCCCUCUCGCCGAGUGAAGGGUCGAGGGUUUGGGGCACAAAGGGCGCAAAACGUUUUUUCCUGUGAGAGGAACAUUAAGACUCCUGGGAGGGCUGGGGCUAACGCCUCCGAGAGCCCCACCUGGUCAGCCUAGGGUUAGACGUGUAGCCAGGGUGCUGGGAGGGGGCCGCUGCUGGGCCCCAGAUAGAGGGGUAGAGGCCGCUCAAUCACGGAGCCAGGCCCCACCUGCUGUAGAAACCGCCACCGAGAGCCGGCCGGGCUUGCUGCACGCUCUGGAUUCCGCCUGCCUAUAGGCGAGGCACAAGGGACUGCGAGACCAGGCCUGAAGGCAGAGAGGUCAGCAGGCUCGGGGGCCUCUGCUCCAGCGGACAACAAGCGCACCGGGCGGGAACGGCCGCCUCCCCAGGCGCUGCAGCCUAGCUCUCAUGUGACCCACGGAACUUAGCCCCUCUGUUCUGUUUGCAUACCUGCAAAUUGUGGGCAUUCACGCCGGGACUGCCAACUCACCAGGUUAUUUAUAGUGACAAGAGAGUGAGACAGUGGGCUUGAAAGUGUUUUCCAGACCAAGGCUCUGUCCCACAUAUAGGUGGAUUAACUGGCAAAGGCAGGUCUCUUCUUCGGCCUCUCUGACAUGGUGCCAGCCCUGCUGGAGUCAGCAGGAAUCCAGCACAACAGAUGGUGGUCAGUGGUGACUUCAGCACAGGCAGUUCGUGGGGAGUGGUUGGUGGCCAUGGAGUCCUGACUGGAGUAGGUUAAAAAGAAGGAGGAAAAUCACAAGAAAGAGAGACUGGAGGCAGCCACCUCUCAACAACCCAUGAAGUGUCUGGAGCUCCACCCUCUGCUCAAGAGGAACGGCACAUGACCCAGGCCUAUGCCAAUCAGCAUUUCACAUUCCUCAUGAUUGGUUCAAAGGUGAGCAAGUAAUUGAAAUCAGUUAAAUUAGUGCCAGCACAAAGAGGCUCUUUCCCCCACCCCAGUAUUACCAUGGUUUUAAUAUGGUUUAUCCCCACAAAACUCACGUUGAGGCUUGGACUCCAGUGUGACAGUAUUGGGAGGUGGUGCCUUUAAGAGAUGAUUAGAUGGUUAAGAGGGAUGAAUGCCUUACUCUUGCAGUGAGUUCUUGUUCUCUCAGUUCUGGAUUAGUUCCCAUGAGAGUGGGUUGUUAUAAAGCAAGGCUGCCUUUUGCGUUUGGUCUCUUUUGCUUGCCCGUCCACUUUUCUGCCACAGUAUAAUGUGGCAGGAGGCCCUCACCAGAUGCAGCUGCCUCAUCUUGAACGUCCUAGUCUCUAGAACUGUGAGCCUAAUAAACCUCUUUGCUUUAUAAAUUACCCAGUCUCAGGUAUAUUGUUAUAGCAACAGAAAACGGAUUAAGACAUAUGUUGUACUUGAACCUUAAUGUACUUGAACUUGAAGUUUGAUGGCUGCAGCAGCUAUAGCCAUCUUACUUCUAUGUGAAGCCUGAGAAUUAAGCAACACAUGGAAGGGAACACAUCUUUUGAGCCCCAAUUUGGCCAUGAGUUGCCCUUAGAUUUUUUUAGUUAUGUGAGCCAGUACAUUUCCUAAAACAGGUAAAAUUAUGUUUUUAGACACUGAUAACCAAAACAGGUCAAACUAUGCUUAUGGCAAUUUGCUUUAAAAGAGAACUAGACAGAGA